rnacentral:lncRNA from 1 species
UUUUGUGUAAAUUUGGAUGGAGGAGUUUGGAUAGAAUCGAAACUAGUAGUGGCAAUUUUGGCUACCCUCUCUCAUUCCCCAAUUUUCUGAUAGUUUUGUCGUUUCUCCUUUUCUUUUUUCUCUCUGUUUUUAUCUUUUAUUCUUUUUCUUUUUCUUCCCAAUCCGAAUGAUAACUGUUUCUUUUCAAAAAUCUCGGUUGCUC